rnacentral:miRNA from 1 species
GUGAAAUGUUUAGGACCACUGG